UACGUAGGGUGCGAGCGUUGUCCGGAAUUAUUGGGCGUAAAGAGCUUGUAGGCGGUUUGUCGCGUCUGCUGUGAAAAUCCGGGGCUCAACCCCGGACUUGCAGUGGGUACGGGCAGACUGGAGUGUGGUAGGGGAGACUGGAAUUCCUGGUGUAGCGGUGGAAUGCGCAGAUAUCAGGAGGAACACCGAUGGCGAAGGCAGCUCGCUGGGACGUUACUGACGCUGAGACGCGAAAGCGUGGGGAGCAAACAGG
rnacentral:rRNA from 1 species